GAGUUGGCUUGGCAAUCGCGUAUUGCCUUGCAAUAUGAGGAAAGUCCGAGCAGCACAGAGCAGGGUGACGGCUAACGGCCGCCGAGGGUGACCUUAGGGAAAGUGCAACAGAGAUAUACCGCCUUGUAAAAGGUAAGGGUGGAAAGGCGAGGUAAGAGCUCACCGAGGAGGUGGAGACAUCUCCUGCCAUGUAAACCCCACCCGCUGCAACAUCGACUAAAGGGUUGUUUGCUCGACACAUAACUUUGACGGAUGGCUUGAGCGCGUCAGCAAUGGCGCGUCGAGAUAGAUGAUUGCCCACGACAGAACUCGGCUUACUGCCAAC
rnacentral:RNase_P_RNA from 1 species